rfam:Schistosoma curassoni strain Dakar, Senegal genome assembly, scaffold: SCTD_scaffold0002569
ACACUGCUGAAGAGUCGCGCAGUGGGACGAAACGACCGUCCAGUGU